ACGUAGGAGGUGCACGACAGGGGCACCAGGCAGAGUCCUCUACUUCGGAGGUCAAGCUUUGCUGCUGCGUCCCCUCCAUUUGACGUCCCCUUCUAAUUGAUUAAUUAAUCAAUUGACACCAAGCAAACAUGACAGGCUAAUUUCUUGCUGUUCUUGGAUGAUCUCAGGUAGAUGUGCAUUGUUACAUACCUCAACUUGGUCCUGAAGAAAUUUGAUGUAACCGAUGGCCUCCAUGAGUACCGAUGCGGUAUCAGUCUGCAUCUCAUCAUUUUAAAAUCAAAUUCUAUCAAAGGGUGAUUAUAUAAUUACAGAAACUGGUAAUGCAUUCAUUGAUUGUUUGUUACAUACCUUACCAAAGGGUGAGACCAGUUGCUGAAGGGCGGCAAUUCUAUCCCCUAGUUUCUCUUUCCUUACCUAUAAUAAUUAGUUGAAUUAGGAUAUGCAUUACCAUUGUCCAAUGUUCAUGCAGAGCAGAUAAAUGAUCAAACAUCGAUCGGUCAGAUCGAUCUUUGUAUGUGUAUAUACGGACCUUGAAUGAAGGAAGCAUUGAGGAGGAGUGUGACUCGAGCCGGGGCUUCUUUGACGAUGGCGGCAGCGCUGUUGAUGAUCUGUGCUCCGUUGAACUCCCAUGGCGGCCACCUCUCCCUUGAGCUGCUGCAUUCGUAUUCCUCUUCAUCUGCAUGUGUAGGGUGUUGGAUGGUCCUUGAAUUAGAUGAGCAGGAGGGCCAGCAUAGGGGCAGGGCACAUGCUCAUCUCUUAUGCUGCUAUGGCCGACCACUGCAGCAGCAGCAGCCUGCCUCUUGCAACAUAUCUGCAGCGGCUCAUCGCCGGCGGCCAGCUUCUGCAGCCGCGAGACGUUGAUGCUCGGGAGCACAGCGCCGUCCAGAUGUAGAUGCGGCGGAGGAAGAAGCGUGGUGGCGCUGCAUGACCUUGGAUUGCUGAUUAGGGAUUGAUCAGGACGUGGCCGUAGCUCCUCCUCGUUCAUCAUCACAUUACUAUUAUUAUUCGUGGAGCUUGCAAUACUAUGUUGAUCUGCUGGCGCAGCGCAGCUGCUCCAUUGGAACCCUAGCUCCUGCAUCAUUAGCACCGUGCUGAGUUGAUGAGCCUGCAGAUGGGGGCUUAAUGUCGGAGGAGCAGCAGCUGCCAGCUGACUUUCAACUGAUUGGAGUGAUUCAAGCUCAUAUGAGCUUAACUGAUCAGUACUGCUGCUUCUGAUCAAGAGAGAAAUUAAGAAAAUCGAGUCAGAUAUUAAUUACUUAAUUUGUUAUUAUCACUGGUAUCAUCUAUCUACCAGAUUAUUAUGAGAUAUACAGACCUUGAUCAUGCAUGACAAAAGGAACAAAGGUAAUGCGAGCGGAUGGAAGCUUUUUACAUCAAGGAAACCAACAAAUCAAUAAGCCUAGCUAGAUCCAUGCUGCCAAUAUAAUUAAUGCACACAUUGUUUCCUCUGAAGUUGUCAUUUUGUUGUGCUUGCUACAAUUCCCCAGAAUCUCAGAAGGAACAAGGAGGUAGCAGACAAGAAGCCAGAGAAGAAAAUCCAAAUCCUAGGAAUCCCAGCAUUGGAGGCUGGCUCCAUUGGUGGUUCAAUCCAAAGGUGUUGGGAGCAGGAGCAAAGGGCAUGGAAGGCCAUGGGAUCAGGUCAUCUUGCAAGAGAUGAUUAUCACAGAGGCUGGAGGAGGAAGAGGAGGAGGCCAUCA